UCCAUGCCUCGACGGGUCAGGGCUGUUUUGGGGAUCCAACACAAUAUUAGGAAGUAAUCAAGGACGAGCUCAUCUCAGGGCUUUGAAACUGAAGCGGGCAGCACAGGACAGUAUGUCGUGCGGGCCGGGCGGCGCUGGCAUGCACAGACGUUCAUUGAAGGAGGGACCCAAUGACACUUUUCACACCGACCAGUAAGAAACCACCUAGCAACCUUCCAGACCUCCUUAGCCACCACAUAGUAACAUCCUGGCAACCAUCCACAACACGCAGCGUGUCCCAGUGGAAAAGAGACUGAUAAUCAUCUUUGUAAAUUCCAGCUCCGCUCAGAGGUGCAGAAAGGAGCGACACACCAAAUAAACAUCCAGAAACUGUGAGGAAAACACACACACAUUCACACGCCUCAUGUAGGGCUGUCAAGCCGGGGCAGAUCGCAGGUAUGUGAAGGGGCUUCAGGAGGAUGAUGGUUAGAGAGACGGGAUGGGUGUGGAGAGGACAGAUCUGACAUGUGUGAGUUAUUGCAACAGAAUGGACGCAUUACUGCUUCAUUAACAUAAAAUGGAGGUACAGACAGACACAUGCGACAACAUUCACAAGCUCCAGACGGGCCUGAAUUCUUGGCGCUUUUGUGGAUUCAUCGAAAAAAGCCAUAAUGCUAGAUUUACAUUGUUUGAUGCAUUUAACACAUUUAAAAAUAUGACAUGUUUUUAUGGUGUGGUUGCAGCGCAUGCAGUGAUUGAUAAUGCAUAUAUUGUUAUUCAUACCAGUUUUACCAAGGGGAAAAGUGCUUAAAGAAUGUCAACAUUUAUGUUGUGGAAUGUGUUCAUGUGACAUUUCACAAUAAAAUAAAAUAAAAUAAAAUAAUAAUAAAA